CCUACGGGCGGCAGCAGUGAGGAAUAUUGGUCAAUGGACGAGAGUCUGAACCAGCCAAGUAGCGUGAAGGAUGACUGCCCUAUGGGUUGUAAACUUCUUUUAUAUGGGAAUAAAACGUUCCACGUGUGGGAUUUUGUAUGUACCAUAUGAAUAAGGAUCGGCUAACUCCGUGCCAGCAGCCGCGGUAAUACGGAGGAUCCGAGCGUUAUCCGGAUUUAUUGGGUUUAAAGGGAGCGUAGGUGGAUUGUUAAGUCAGUUGUGAAAGUUUGCGGCUCAACCGUAAAAUUGCAGUUGAAACUGGCAGUCUUGAGUACAGUAGAGGUGGGCGGAAUUCGUGGUGUAGCGGUGAAAUGCUUAGAUAUCACGAAAAACUCCGAUUGCGAAGGCAGUUCACUAGACUGCAACUGACACUGAGGCUCGAAAGUGUGGGUAUCAAACAGGAUUAGAUACCCCAGUAGUC
rnacentral:rRNA from 1 species